UACGUAGGGGGCAAGCGUUGUCCGGAUUUAUUGGGCGUAAAGAGCGUGUAGGCGGCUAGGUAGGUCCGUUGUGAAAACUCGAGGCUCAACCUCGAGACGUCGAUGGAAACCAUCUAGCUAGAGUCCGGAAGAGGAGAGUGGAAUUCCUGGUGUAGCGGUGAAAUGCGCAGAUAUCAGGAAGAACACCAAUGGCGAAGGCAGCUCGCUGGGACGGUACUGACGCUGAGACGCGAAAGCGUGGGGAGCAAACAGG
rnacentral:rRNA from 1 species